UCGGGGCGCCCCGAGGCCCACGGCGGCUCGGCACCCCGCCGCGCCCCACACCGCGCCCCCGGCCAGCGGCCCCCCCGGCCCUGGUCCCGGUCCCGGUCCCGGCCGCAGUGCCCGGCCGCCGCCCGCCGCCCCCAGCAGCCCGCCGCUGCCCGCCUGGCCCACUGCGGCACACGCUACCUCCUCCUACAAGAUCUACGUCCACGACUCGGCGCCGUCCUGGACCCUGUCUCCCUUCCAGGAGUCUACCACCACCACGCCGGAGGCCAGCACGACUCCCAAAACCCUGUUGGAUUGGAAAACUGUCCUCAGUCUCUCAUGUGAAAGCUCAGCAUGCAGCUCUUGUUGAUCCCUGCCUUUGGAGCCAUCCAGCCUGGGGGAAGCCCUGAAGAUUUAGAACACCUGCUGAUGUGCCCAGUGCUGGCUGCAGGACCUGCAAGCUCAGAUCAUUACUGUGGUCUGAACAUCUCGCUGACAUUGCCAUUUCACCAUCAGUGGAUCUGCUGAUGGCAGACACCUUUUAAGAGUUUGGUAAUGCUAAAAGUAUUUUUAUUCUUUUUAAAGCAAGCCAAUAACUAAACUACUGUUAUUAGUGAUCAGGAAUAUUUGGCUUUAAGUACAAGCUGGGCAUCAUUGCUGUCAAGGUUAAAACAAAGUAACAGUUUGUGAAGUGUAUUAUCCUUAACAGCAGAGGAUUGUGUAUCUGGGGGGCUUCUUUUCAGAAGCUCUUUAAAUUUAACAGCACUGUGGCUGUCUCAGAGGCCUGCCACCAAGGAGCCAAUGCCACAGAAGAGUAAAUGGGAGAUGGAGGUUAAACUGCUGACCAAGCAGAGGGUGGUGUGAGGGUGGUACCACAGCUCAACUGCUGUUGACAUAGCUUGGCCUUGGGGUGUUAAGGACAACGAAUUCAGGAUCUGUGUAGUUUCUCUUCCAAAAUUUCUAUAACUGAUCAUUUAAUAAUAUUUUUUAGUCUCAAUCUUCUACAUUGGAAAUAUUUUUAAGUAGCUCAUCCCUGCUGCCAGAGAGCCUUAUUUGAUCAGCAAUCUUAAUGCUGAUCUGGUGUAUUGAGGCAAAAACUGUUGUGAAAUCUUUUGUGUUAAGCGUAUAGCACAAACUGGAAAAAAAAUACACAAAGCUGCAAGGAUGAUGAACAAACAUUUCUUCUUAGCUAGCAAAUGGCGGUCUAGCCAGAGAAAUUCCUCCUUACAGCACUGCUGGAUUUCUUUCUGUAGAAGAGGGUGCACGGUAGCCAGGCGGGCUGGAGGAGCUGGGGGGCCAGCCUGCUGCACCGCAUAAUGUAACUCUGAUUUUCUGAUUUUGUGGGUGCCAAGAUGUUUUGAGGGGUGGUUUUUCUUUUUCAUUUUUGUUUGUUUGUUUGUUUGUUUUUGU
rnacentral:lncRNA from 1 species